GAGUUUGAUCUUGGCUCAGAGCGAACGCUGGCGGCAGGCUUAACACAUGCAAGUCGAGCGGGCGUAGCAAUACGUCAGCGGCAGACGGGUGAGUAACGCGUGGGAACGUACCUUUUGGUUCGGAACAACACAGGGAAACUUGUGCUAAUACCGGAUAAGCCCUUACGGGGAAAGAUUUAUCGCCGAAAGAUCGGCCCGCGUCUGAUUAGCUAGUUGGUAGGGUAAUGGCCUACCAAGGCGACGAUCAGUAGCUGGUCUGAGAGGAUGAUCAGCCACAUUGGGACUGAGACACGGCCCAAACUCCUACGGGAGGCAGCAGUGGGGAAUAUUGGACAAUGGGGGCAACCCUGAUCCAGCCAUGCCGCGUGAGUGAUGAAGGCCCUAGGGUUGUAAAGCUCUUUUGUGCGGGAAGAUAAUGACGGUACCGCAAGAAUAAGCCCCGGCUAACUUCGUGCCAGCCGCCGCGGUAAU
rnacentral:rRNA from 2 species